rnacentral:rRNA from 1 species
UCUGGUGACGAUAGCGGAGGGGACACACCCGUUUCCAUUCCGAACACGGCCGUUAAGCCCUCCAGCGCCGAUGGUACUUGCCCCGAAGGGGGCCGGGAGAGUAGGACGUUGCCAGGC